rnacentral:rRNA from 1 species
UUAAGUUAAUAAGGGCGCACGGUGGAUGCCUUGGCACUAGAAGCCGAUGAAGGACGUGACUAACGACGAAAUGCUUUGGGGAGCUGUAAGUGAGCAAUGAUCCAGAGAUGUCCGAAUGGGGGAACCCGGCAGGUAAUGCCUGUCACUCAUUACUGUUAAGGUAAUGUAGAGGAAGACGCAGUGAACUGAAACAUCUAAGUAGCUGUAGGAAGAGAAAGCAAAAGCGAUUGCCUUAGUAGCGGCGAGCGAAACGGCAAGAGGGCAAACCGAAGAGUUUACUCUUCGGGGUUGUAGGACUGCAACGUGGACUUAAAGAUUAUAGAAGAACUACCUGGGAAGGUAGGCCAAAGAGAGUAAUAGCCUCGUAUUCGAAAUAGUCUUUAUACCUAGCAGUAUCCUGAGUACGGCGAGACACGAGAAAUCUCGUCGGAAUCUGGGAGGACCAUCUCCCAACCCUAAAUACUCUCUAGUGACCGAUAGUGAACCAGUACCGUGAGGGAAAGGUGAAAAGCACCCCGGGAGGGGAGUGAAAUAGAACCUGAAACCGUGUGCCUACAACAAGUUCGAGCCCGUUAAUGGGUGAGAGCGUGCCUUUUGUAGAAUGAACCGGCGAGUUACGAUAUGAUGCGAGGUUAAGUUGAAGAGACGGAGCCGUAGGGAAACCGAGUCUUAAUAGGGCGCAUUAGUAUCAUGUCGUAGACCCGAAACCAUGUGACCUACCCAUGAGCAGGUUGAAGGUGAGGUAAAACUCACUGGAGGACCGAACCAGGGCACGUUGAAAAGUGCUUGGAUGACUUGUGGGUAGCGGAGAAAUUCCAAACGAACUUGGAGAUAGCUGGUUCUCUCCGAAAUAGCUUUAGGGCUAGCGUUGAUGUUAAGUCUCUUGGAGGUAGAGCACUGUUUGGGUGAGGGGUCCAUCCCGGAUUACCAAUCUCAGAUAAACUCCGAAUGCCAAUGAGAUAUAAUCGGCAGUCAGACUGCGAGUGCUAAGAUCCGUAGUCGAAAGGGAAACAGCCCAGACCACCAGCUAAGGUCCCAAAAUAUAUGUUAAGUGGAAAAGGAUGUGGGGUUGCACAGACAACUAGGAUGUUAGCUUAGAAGCAGCUAUUCAUUCAAAGAGUGCGUAAUAGCUCACUAGUCGAGUGACCCUGCGCCGAAAAUGUACCGGGGCUAAAACAUAUUACCGAAGCUGUGGAUACCUUUAUAGGUAUGGUAGGAGAGCGUUCUAUGUGCGAAGAAGGUGUACCGUGAGGAGUGCUGGAGCGCAUAGAAGUGAGAAUGCCGGUAUGAGUAGCGAAAGACAGGUGAGAAUCCUGUCCACCGUAAGACUAAGGUUUCCAGGGGAAGGCUCGUCCGCCCUGGGUUAGUCGGGACCUAAGGAGAGACCGAAAGGUGUAUCCGAUGGACAACAGGUUGAUAUUCCUGUACUAGAGUAUAUAGUGAUGGAGGGACGCAGUAGGCUAACUAAACCAGACGAUUGGAAGUGUCUGGCCAAGCAGUGAGGUGUGAUAUGAGUCAAAUGCUUAUAUCUUUAACAUUGAGCUGUGAUGGGGAGCGAAGUUUAGUAGCGAAGUUAGUGAUGUCACACUGCCGAGAAAAGCUUCUAGCGUUAAUUAUACUCUACCCGUACCGCAAACCGACACAGGUAGUCGAGGCGAGUAGCCUCAGGUGAGCGAGAGAACUCUCGUUAAGGAACUCGGCAAAAUGGCCCCGUAACUUCGGGAGAAGGGGCGCUGACUGAUGGUCAGCCGCAGUGAAUAGGCCCAAGCAACUGUUUAUCAAAAACACAGCUCUCUGCUAAAUCGUAAGAUGAUGUAUAGGGGGUGACGCCUGCCCGGUGCUGGAAGGUUAAGAGGAGUGCUUAGCGUAAGCGAAGGCAUGAAUUGAAGCCCCAGUAAACGGCGGCCGUAACUAUAACGGUCCUAAGGUAGCGAAAUUCCUUGUCGGGUAAGUUCCGACCCGCACGAAAGGCGUAAUGAUUUGGGCACUGUCUCAACGAGAGACUCGGUGAAAUUUUAGUACCUGUGAAGAUGCAGGUUACCCGCGACAGGACGGAAAGACCCCAUGGAGCUUUACUGCAGUUUGAUAUUGAGUAUCUGUACCACAUGUACAGGAUAGGUAGGAGCCUAUGACCUCGGGACGCCAGUUUCGAGUGAGGCGUUGUUGGGAUACUACCCUUGUGUUAUGGCUACUCUAACCCAGAUAGGUUAUCCCUAUCGGAGACAGUGUCUGACGGGCAGUUUGACUGGGGCGGUCGCCUCCUAAAAGGUAACGGAGGCGCCCAAAGGUUCCCUCAGAAUGGUUGGAAAUCAUUCGCAGAGUGUAAAGGUAUAAGGGAGCUUGACUGCGAGAGCUACAACUCGAGCAGGGACGAAAGUCGGGCUUAGUGAUCCGGUGGUUCCGUAUGGAAGGGCCAUCGCUCAACGGAUAAAAGCUACCCUGGGGAUAACAGGCUUAUCUCCCCCAAGAGUUCACAUCGACGGGGAGGUUUGGCACCUCGAUGUCGGCUCGUCGCAUCCUGGGGCUGUAGUCGGUCCCAAGGGUUGGGCUGUUCGCCCAUUAAAGCGGCACGCGAGCUGGGUUCAGAACGUCGUGAGACAGUUCGGUCCCUAUCCGUCGCGGGCGUAGGAAAUUUGAGAGGAUCUGCUCCUAGUACGAGAGGACCAGAGUGGACUUACCGCUGGUGUACCAGUUGUUCUGCCAAGAGCAUCGCUGGGUAGCUAUGUAGGGAAGGGAUAAACGCUGAAAGCAUCUAAGUGUGAAGCCCACCUCAAGAUGAGAUUUCCCAUGAUUUUAUAUCAGUAAGAGCCCUGAGAGAUGAUCAGGUUGAUAGGUUAGAAGUGGAAGUGUGGUGACACAUGUAGCGGACUAAUACUAAUAGCUCGAGGACUUAUCCAA